UUUAGAACAUUAAUCACAUACAACAUAUCAUCCCCCUUAUCAAAUCUGUCGGCACUUGUAUCGCAAAACACUUGUAUAUCCGGUGUAGUAACCAAAACCUCCUUGUUAGCCGGCAUACUAGGGUUUGAUCGAGACGAAAAUAUCCGUCGUGAACCUCUACGAUGGUGUAAUUGAUGCGGAUUCCGAGACUAGAUCUGAAGGUGGAGGCGGCGUACUAGGGCUUCAUCGCCGGUAGUGGUAAAGGCGGUGGUAGUUGUAGAGAGUAGAAGUUUCGGCUAGAACAGAUCUGAUGGUAGUUUGACAGAGGUGGUGGUGGUUCUGGCGGAUGUGGAUGGAGAUGGGGGCAGUGUGGCGAUCUGUAUGGAGGGAGCGUGGUGGACAGGGGCGGACCUAGUGUAGUCUGAGGCGUAGCCCGGGCUACGGCUCAACUUUUAUCCGUUAGUGUAAAAAAAUUUUUUUUUUCGAUUUUUAUACUAAGGACACCCCUCAACAACAAUUAGGACACCCCUCAAAAAAAAAUUUACAAACUGAAAUUAAGCCCAAAAAAUACUGAUUAUAUUAGCCCAAAUAACCAAAUGAUAGCCCAAUACUAGUUAGCCCAAAAAAAAAUAAUAACCCAACAGUGCAUAUGCAUUGGGCGGCAGAUUCAUUGCAGGGAUAAUCAAAGGUCACGAAGACUGAAGACACGAAGUCACGAACAGAAUUCGCAGGUCCUUGAGUCCUUCGUUGAUUUGCUGCAUCUCGCACAUCGUAGGAGGAUUACAAUCGAAGUCACAAAACUCACGAACUCACAAAGAUUCGCAGAAGGAUUAUUGGAUUAACUCACAGAUUCCGGCAUUCCGCAUUCGGCAAUCGGCUCCGCUGUCCGCCUCCUCUCAUCGGCCAUCGCAGAUUUGCAGGAGUGAUGACGAAACCAAAAUUCAAAAAAGAAGCUUUAAUUGGGAACUUUUUCUAAACCGAGUGGGCUGAACGCUGAAGUCGCUGAACAACAAGGAUACCAAGUCGCUGAACAUGGGCUGAAGGUGUCGCUGAUGAUCAUUGAUCGCUGCUGAUUGCUGAAACAGUUCAGAACAAUAAUCAUCGAACAGGCUGAUUGGCUGAAGUCGCUACUGUUGUGCUGAUUGUGAGUUGUGAGUAUUCUUUAUUUUUUUUCUUCUUGAGUUCUUGAAUUGUUUAAUUUCGAUCUAAAAAUUAAAAAUAAACCAAGCCCAAUCUAAAAUCUAAAAUCUAAAAACUUAUUGCCAAUAUUAAUUCAUAGAGCCUAGCCCAAAUGUGAUAUGCUCAAUAUUGAUUCGUUAACCUAAAUACUAAUAACUUAAAAAAGAAACUAGUUUAUAAAAUUUAAUUCGACAAGGCCUAAGGGCCUUUUUUUGGCUCACCCAGGGCACUUGAAUUUUCAGGAUCGGCCCUGCCCCGUAGUAUAGGUAAAAAAAAUUAUGUUCUAUAAAUAUAUCGUAAAAAAAUUUGGGAUACCCCUGAAUAUUUCUUCUAGUUCCGCCACUGGUGGUGGAUCUUGGAUGGGGGUGGUGGUGUGUGGCAGAUUUAGAUGGGUUCUACUUUUGAACGGGGAUGGGUUAUUUUCUAUGCAGACAAUCUAUAUAGACAAUUUAUAUAUUGAGAGAGAGAGAUCUGUGCUUUCAUUAAAGACCAAAAAUAUUUAUUGCACAAAUAUAAUAAAAAGACGAAUCUGCCCUUAUGUGCAAUGCACAUAACUGAAUUUAAUUGUAAAUUUUAACUAGGUUAGUGCUAAAGGACGGAAGGUAUAAUUAGUUUUCCAAAUAAAGGACUGUGACUGUAAUUAUUGAAGUUAAAGGUUAUCCACUGCAAUCUGAUACAGACAUAAAGGACGAAAAGUGUAAUUUAUCCUUUUUUUUUGUCGCUGCAACUACAUCGGAAAAAAAUUCCGGUGAUUACUCUUCAGUUUCUUUUAAUUUUUUUCAUUAUUAUUCAUGCGAAAGUUUAAGGGGUGCGACUACAAAAUUUUAUGAGGUGCGUUUUAGAUUUUAACUUGAAUAUAGCACUGAAAAUUUUUAUUUCAAAGGGGAAGCCCGCACCCCCACCGGCAACCAUAAGUCCGCCCCUGUGUGUAGAUCAUUAAAGUUGUCUACACGAUUUUACUCAUAAACAAGAAUUAAUUGCAUCAUCUCUCUACAAUACGCAUUAUUUUCAUUAACAACAUAUUUUCCUCAACUAGUAUUUUUAUACAUUCUAGUCAUAUAUGUAACCAAUUUAAUUUAAAUUUAUUCUAGUCAUAUAUGUAACCAAUUUAAUUUAAAUUUAAGGUUUGCACUUUCGUUGGCAUUUUACGAACUUGCUUACAAUGUACUCUAAAAUUACAACUCCUGCGAAGUUAAUGAAGAAAUAAACUUCUUUACAUUUUAAUAUUAUGAACCCAUUUAUUAACUUUUGUACAAAACAAUUAUGUAAAGCAAUCCGUAACCAAGUCUGGCCAACCCAGCGUGAGCCCGGUUAAGACAACGUAAGUCUGGGCAGACUUGGCUAGGGCCGCCGAUUAGACGGUGUGACAUUGGGUCACUCAAAAAGAAAGUCACCGUUCAAAAAAAAAAAAAAA